rnacentral:sRNA from 1 species
UUCAUUUAUUUUUAAUUUGUCCGUUUAAUACAUGCGUUAUUUAAUUU